UGAGCGACCUACCUAAUUGUGGGGGAUAGCCGGCCCAACGGCCGGGUAAUACCGCAUACGAUCGGAGAGGGGCAUCCCUUUCUGAGGAAAGCCUUCGGGCGCAAUUUGAGGGGCUCGCGGCCUAUCAGCUAGUUGGUGGGGUAACGGCUCACCAAGGCAACGACGGGUAGCUGGU
rnacentral:rRNA from 1 species